rnacentral:misc_RNA from 1 species
GAAAUGCGAUAAGUAAUGUGAAUUGCAGAAUUCAGUGAAUCAUCGAAUCUUUGAACGCACCUUGCGCUCCUUGGUAUUCCUUGGAGCAUGCCUCUUUGAGUAUCAUGAAAUCUUCAAAGUAAAUCUUUUGUUAACUCAAUUGGUUUCUACUUUGGUAUUGGAGGUCUUUGCAGCUUCACACCUGCUCCUCUUUGUUCAUUAGCUGGAUCUCAGUGUUAUGCUUGGUUCCACUCGGCGUGAUAAGUUAUCUAUCGCUGAGGACACUGUAAAAGGUGGCCAAGGUAAAUGCAGAUGAACCGCUUCUAAUAGUCCAUUGACUUGGACAAUACUUUUAUGAUCUGAUCUCAAAUCAGGUAGGACUACCCGCUGAACUUAAGC